AGUGAACGCUGGCGGUAGGCCUAACACAUGCAAGUCGAACGGCAGCACAGUAAGAGCUUGCUCUUACGGGUGGCGAGUGGCGGACGGGUGAGGAAUACAUCGGAAUCUACUUUUUCGUGGGGGAUAACGUAGGGAAACUUACGCUAAUACCGCAUACGACCUACGGGUGAAAGCAGGGGAUCUUCGGACCUUGCGCGAUUGAAUGAGCCGAUGUCGGAUUAGCUAGUUGGCGGGGUAAAGGCCCACCAAGGCGACGAUCCGUAGCUGGUCUGAGAGGAUGAUCAGCCACACUGGAACUGAGACACGGUCCAGACUCCUACGGGAGGCAGCAGUGGUGAAUAUUGGACAAUGGGCGCAAGCCUGAUCCAGCCAUACCGCGUGGGUGAAGAAGGCCUUCGGGUUGUAAAGCCCUUUUGUUGGGAAAGAAAAGCAGCAGGUUAAUACCCCGCUGUUCUGACGGUACCCAAAGAAUAAACACCGGCUAACUUCGU
rnacentral:rRNA from 1 species